UGAGGAAUAUUGCGCAAUGGGGGCAACCCUGACGCAGCGACGCCGCGUGGAUGAUGAAGGCCCUUGGGUCGUAAAAUCCUGUCAGAUGGAAAGAAAUGCCACAGGGCUAAUAUCUUUGUGGUUUGACGGUACCAUCAAAGGAAGCACCGGCUAACUCCGUGCCAGCAGCCGCGGUAAUACGGAGGGUGCAAGCGUUGUUCGGAAUUACUGGGCGUAAAGCGCGCGUAGGCGGUUUGCUCAGUCAGAUGUGAAAGCCCUCGGCUUAACCGGGGACGUGCAUUUGAAACUGGCAGACUUGAGUAUUGGAGGGGGUGGUGGAAUUCCCGGUGUAGAGGUGAAAUUCGUAGAUAUCGGGAGGAAUACCGGUGGCGAAGGCGACCACCUGGCCAAAUACUGACGCUGAGGUGCGAAAGCGUGGGGAGCAAACAGG
rnacentral:rRNA from 1 species